rnacentral:rRNA from 1 species
UACGUAGGUGGCAAGCGUUGUCCGGAAUUACUGGGUGUAAAGGGCGUGUAGGCGGGAAGGUAAGUCAGAUGUGAAAUUCCGGGGCUCAACCCCGGCGCUGCAUCUGAAACUAUCUUUCUUGAGUGCUGGAGAGGAAAGCGGAAUUCCUAGUGUAGCGGUGAAAUGCGUAGAUAUUAGGAGGAACACCAGUGGCGAAGGCGGCUUUCUGGACAGUAACUGACGCUGAGGCGCGAAAGCGUGGGGAGCAAACAGGAUUAGAUACCCUGGUAGUCCACGCUGUAAACGAUGGAUACUAGGUGUGGGAGGUAUCGACCCCUUCCGUGCCGCAGUUAACACAAUAAGUAUCCCACCUGGGGAGUACGGCCGCAAGGUUGAA